rnacentral:rRNA from 1 species
GACGAACGCUGGCGGCGUGUUUAAUACAUGCAAGUCGAGCGAGAAGCCACCGCUCCGUAAGGAGUGGUGGUGGAAAGCGGCGAACGGGUGAGUAACACGUGGGUAACGUGCCCCGAACACUGGGAUAACGGCGGGAAACCGCCGCUAAUACCCGAUAGCCCUGCAGCGUCGCAUGAUGCAGCAGGCAAAGCCCCGACGGUUCGGGAUCGGCCCGCGGCGUAUCAGCUUGUUGGUGGGGUGACGGCCUACCAAGGCAGUGACGCGUAGCUGGCGUGAGAGCGCGACCAGCCACCCGGGGACUGAGACACGGCCCAGACUCCUACGGGAGGCAGCAGUAGGGAAUCUUGCGCAAUGGGCGAAAGCCGGACGCAGCGACGCCGCGUGAGGGAUGAAGGCCUUCGGGUUGUAAACCUCUUUCAGCGGGGACGAAGCCUCACGGUGACGGUACCCGCAGAAGAAGGUCCGGCCAACUACGUGCCAGCCGCCGCAGUAA